ACGUAGGGAGCAAGCGUUAUCCGGAUUUACUGGGUGUAAAGGGCGCGCAGGCGGGCUUGCAAGUUGGGAGUGAAAUCCCGGGGCUUAACCCCGGAACUGCUCUCAAAACUGCGAGUCUUGAGUGAUGGAGAGGCAGGCGGAAUUCCCAGUGUAGCGGUGAAAUGCGUAGAUAUUGGGAGGAACACCAGUGGCGAAGGCGGCCUGCUGGACAUUAACUGACGCUGAGGCGCGAAAGCGUGGGGAGCAAACAG
rnacentral:rRNA from 1 species